rnacentral:rRNA from 1 species
UACAGAGGGUGCGAGCGUUAAUCGGAAUUACUGGGCGUAAAGGGUGCGUAGGCGGUUAUAAAAGUGAGAUGUGAAAGCCCCGGGCUUAACCUGGGAAAGUCAUCUCAAACUGUGUGACUAGAGUCGGGUAGAGGGGAGUGGAAUUUCCGGUGUAGUGGUGAAAUACGUAGAUAUCAGGUGGAAUACCGGUGGCGAAGGCGGCCAAUUGGCCCAACACUGACGCUGAGAUACGAAAGCGUGGGGAUCAAACAGG